rnacentral:rRNA from 1 species
AUACGGAGGAUCCGAGCGUUAUCCGGAUUUAUUGGGUUUAAAGGGUGCGCAGGCGGCCAUUUAAGUCAGCGGUUAAAUCGUGGGGCUCAACCCCAUUCUGCCGUUGAUACUGGGUGGCUUGAUUGCGGUCGAGGUUGGCGGAAUUCGUUGUGUAGCGGUGAAAUGCAUAGAUAUGACGAAGAACACCGAUUGCGUAGGCAGCUGACCAGAUCGCUAAUGACGCUCAUGCACGAAAGUGCAGGGAUCGAAUAGUGAUAGAUUCUCUGAUAGUACGCACAGUAAACGAUGAAUACUUGUUUUCUGCGAUAUAAUGCCGGAUCUAAAGCGAAAUAGAUAAGUUUUCCUCCUCCUGUGUCAGCCUUCAACUGUGACAAGAUAAGUAACUUGCCGUG